rnacentral:tRNA from 1 species
AAGAGAGGUCUGGAGACACAAAGAACUGCUAAUUCUUUUUAUCACGGCUCAAAUCCGUGGCUCACUUG